AAGUGGAGGCGGCGCUGCGCUCGAUGCGGCGGCAGGGAGGCGGGAGCCGCGCGCGGAGAUGAAGGAGGAGAAAAUGGGAGGCGUGGAGGAGAGACAGGCGAGCGGGAAGGUCUGGGGUGUUCCCCACAACACACACGAGACCGGUGGCGGCCUUGCAGGUGCUUGCGGUGGCACGGUCGGCGAGGACCUGUCGGAAUCUCGCCGGAUCCGGUGGGAAAUGGCGCGUAGGCGGUGGAUCUGGAAGGAAGACCUCCGGAGCUUGGAGCACGACGGCUGGUGGGCGCGGCAUGGCUUUGGGUACCUGUGAGAGAAGAGAGAGAUGAGCGGGAGAGAAAAGGAAGGAUGGAAGGCCAGAGGGAGAGAGAGGGAGCGGUGAGAUGCGACGGUGGUCUUGCUGCUGCUGCUCGCCGGACGCCGUGGCUCGCCGGCCAUCCGGGAGACGGAAUUGGGGCCUCCCGCAUCACGUGGUGACGCCAAGGCCCAGGUCAGUCUUGCGAUUGCUGACCUGCUGCCUCUUUCUUUCCCAUGUAGAAAUUCAUCGGUCUUGCAGAUGCAUUCAUGUGUUGCUUUUCAAUCUUACAAAUUAGAGAUUUUGAUUGAUACGUACAUGGCAAGCAGCAGCACUACAUGAAUAUAAUAAGAGAAGAUACACCAAAUCUGAAGGUGCUACAAUUGAUCUACUCAUCUUUCCCCUGAUUUGAAUAAUUGUCAGUUCGUAAACACGUCACUUAGCAUCUUUUCUAAUGUAUGUGAGGGGCUUAGCUGGGGAAAUUUUGAAGCGGUUCAGAUGGGGAUUUGUAUCAUACCCUGCUGUUGUGUAUGCUGUUCUUUGCUUUGCUUGGGCCAAUUUUGUACAGGAAGAUAUGAUUUGGAUCAGUUAUGUGAUGCUCUGUCAUGCUCUUUGUGCUCCUGCUCGAGACAGAAAUUUUUAGAUAUUUGUACUGAUUAUUGGUACCGGCACUGAUCGUAUUUAUUCUCAAUUGUUCCAGGUUAAUCAUCUAGGGAAAGUAACACCUGAUCACAGGGUAUCAAAGUUAGUAGAUGUAUGUAAAGUUAUGUAGCUUCGUCAAACAAAUGUCAGUUUUUACAUGUUGGUCAGUUAUGUAGCUGCUCUCCAAUGACCUUUUCAACUCAACAUGCCGUCGGUCAAAUAUCCAUGGAGGACACGAAACAAAUCAAAAAGAAAUUAGCAAUCUGUUAAAUCCAAAUAUUUCUCUGAUUUACUGCUUUCAUUUUUGUGGAACCUAGCAUGUGAAAUGUUCAUGUGUUCUUACUUGAGCGCCUCUUGUGGUUUUAGCAAUGGAGUUGGCUCUAGCUCUUGAAAAGAUGGUGAACGAGAAGCUGCCCAACCUGCUCAUUCUAGGAGAUUGUGGCGGCAGCGGGGGUUUUGUGUCAGUAGAAGAUCAUCAAAUAUUAAGGAUAUGUUUUGGAAAUAUAAUUUUGUGAAAUUGAAUGCACAACAUGUUCAGAGGAGAGGAAACAGAGGUUGCUGUUAAUAACUUGAGUCGCUGUGAUGAUCGCCCGGGCGGCCGUGUAGCCGUCUCAGAUGGAGUCCCAGGGGAAGGACCAAAAGGAGGUGCCCGCAGGUUUAAUAUUUGAUGUCCUCUAUUUGGUAAUGAGAGCAAUGCAAUAUUCUGAAGGGGCACACAUGUAAGGGAAACUGUAUAUGUUUACCUGUCAAGCUGGAAACUGCAAUUCGUAUUCUGAGCUACGAGCUCCGAAUAAAUUGCUUUUCUCUUUCCUUCAAGUGGUCAUCUUAUUUCAGGAUUGGCAUCACUAAUAAUGCGAAGGUUUUUUUCCAUUCAAUCAAAUUUAAAUUCCAAAUUUGUUACCCGUUUCUAUAAGUACCGUACUAUUUUGUUAGAAUGUUAUUUACCAUUUAUAUUAAUUGCCAUUCUUGACCACUUCCUCUAAUUGCAGCUCUUACAUUGCCCCAAAAGGCAUUUGGCUUUUACGUUUAUUCCAGAAGUUCACUCUUUCACCUCAUUUUCUUCAAUGGUUGAAUUUUUCAUGUAUGAUAUAUUUAUAAGAUAAAUGAUAUGCAUUGUGAUCUUUCUUAACUUGAAUAUGAACUUGCAGCCAUAUAUCCUCGCAAGUAAGGGAUGUGGACCUAUGUGUAAGGAGUGCGGAGGUCACAGUUUGAUUUUGUGGUUCCGUGGCGCAGAUGACAAGGCCGAGAAGGAGCACCUCCUGGCGCUGGCCGGCGGCGACGAGGCCCGUGUCCACUUCUUCCCGUGUGACCUCCUCGGCGGCGCCACCAUGCUCACCGCCGCGCGUGGCUGCUCCGGCAUCUUCCGCCUCGCCUCGCCCUGCAUCAUCAACCGCGUCCUCUGUCAAUUGUACGAAAAGUAAAUUAUCUGAAUUUACAGCCUCUGAGGUUCUUUAGUUUCACCCCUAAACAUGAUAUUUACAGGCCAUCUUUCACUUGAAAGGCAUGCUUUUGCUGUACUUUUUCUUAGUUGGUUUAGAUUUAUUGGAUACUCCAAUUUCAUCCUAUCGGCAUAUGUGCAAUCAGAUUUACAAAACCAUG